CCUACGGGGGGCGGCAGUGGGGAAUAUUGGACAAUGGGCGCAAGCCUGAUCCAGCCAUGCCGCGUGAGUGAUGAAGGCCUUAGGGUUGUAAAGCUCUCUCACCGGUGAAGAUAAUGACGGUAACCGGAGAAGAAGCCCCGGCUAACUUCGUGCCAGCAGCCCCGGUC
rnacentral:rRNA from 1 species